UNCACUAUUCCAGUAACUCAAUUGCCACCUC
rnacentral:piRNA from 1 species